UGGGGAAUAUUGCACAAUGGGGGAAACCCUGAUGCAGCGACGCCGCGUGAGCGAAGAAGUAUUUCGGUAUGUAAAGCUCUAUCAGCAGGGAAGAUAAUGACGGUACCUGACUAAGAAGCCCCGGCUAACUACGUGCCAGCAGCCGCGGUAAUACGUAGGGGGCAAGCGUUAUCCGGAUUUACUGGGUGUAAAGGGAGCGUAGACGGCAAGGCAAGUCUGAUGUGAAAACCCAGGGCUUAACCCUGGGACUGCAUUGGAAACUGUCUGGCUCGAGUGCCGGAGAGGUAAGCGGAAUUCCUAGUGUAGCGGUGAAAUGCGUAGAUAUUAGGAAGAACACCAGUGGCGAAGGCGGCUUACUGGACGGUAACUGACGUUGAGGCUCUAAAGCGUGGUGAGCAAACA
rnacentral:rRNA from 1 species